GGUAGCGCGUCUGCCUUGUAAGCGCUAGGCCGCGGGUUCGAUUCCCGCCCGGGGCG
rnacentral:tRNA from 1 species